UUGCAGCGUUUCCCUGUAGAGUCCAAAGGACGGCGUAAGAAGUUGCAAGAAGUUGGUUAUGUGACAACCAUAUGCUUCACAUGUUUCCUACUCAGAUGCAUCAUGAUGUGCUUUAAUGCAUUUGACAAAGGUGCUGACCUUGAUGUUUUAAACCAUCCAAUUCUAAACUUAAUAUAUUACCUGGUAAGUUUGAUGAAUGGUUGUUUUUGAUGAAUGAUUGUGUUAUGUUGCUUGUUGCUAUUAAGUUAGAUACUCAUGUUCAAAUACAGUGUGGAAGUUUC